rnacentral:rRNA from 1 species
AUUGAACGCUGGCGGCAGGCCUAACACAUGCAAGUCGAGCGGAUGAAGGGAGCUUGCUCUUGGUUUCAGCGGCGGACGGGUGAGAAUUGCCCAGGACUCUGCCUGGUCGCGGGGGAUAACGUGCGGAAACGGGCGCUAAUACCGCCUACGUCCUGCGGGCGAAAGUGGGGGAUCUUCAGAGCUCACGCUAUUAGAUGAGCCUAGGUCGGUGUAGCUAGUUGGUGGGGUAAAGGCCUACCAAGGCCACGAUCCGUAACUGGUCUGAGAGGAUGAUCAGUCACAGUGGAGCUGUUGCACGGUCCAGACACCUAGUGGAGGCAGGAGAGGGUAAUAUUGGACAAUGGGCGAAAGCCUGUACCAUCCAUGCCGCGUGUGUGAAGAAAGUCUGCGGAGUGUAUGGCGCUAUAGGUUGGGAUGAAAAGCAGUAAGUUGAAGGCAUGCUGUUGUGACGUUACCAAGAGAAUAAGCACCGGCUAACUGCGUG